AACGAACGCUGGCGGCAUGCCUAACACAUGCAAGUCGAACGAAGGCUUCGGCCUUAGUGGCGCACGGGUGCGUAACGCGUGGGAAUCUGCCCCUUGGUUCGGAAUAACUCAGAGAAAUUUGAGCUAAUACCGGAUGACGACGUAAGUCCAAAGAUUUAUCGCCGAGGGAUGAGCCCGCGUAGGAUUAGCUAGUUGGUGGGGUAAAGGCCUACCAAGGCGACGAUCCUUAGCUGGUCUGAGAGGAUGAUCAGCCACACUGGGACUGAGACACGGCCCAGACUCCUACGGGAGGCAGCAGUGGGGAAUAUUGGACAAUGGGCGAAAGCCUGAUCCAGCAAUGCCGCGUGAGUGAUGAAGGCCUUAGGGUUGUAAAGCUCUUUUACCCGGGAUGAUAAUGACAGUACCGGGAGAAUAAGCUCCGGCUAACUCCGUGCCAGCAGCCGCCGUAAAAC
rnacentral:rRNA from 1 species